UGACAAUUUGACCUCAAAUCGGGUGGGACUACCCGCUGAACUUAAGCAUAUCAAUAAGCGGAGGAAAAGAAACUAACAAGGAUUCCCCUAGUAACGGCGAGUGAAGAGGGAAAAGCUCAAAUUUUGAAUCUGGUGUCUUUGACGCCCGAGUUGUAAUCUAGAGAAGUGUUUUCCGUGUCGGACCGUGCACAAGUCCCCUGGAACGGGGUGUCAUAGAGGGUGAGAAUCCCGUAUAUGGCACGGACCGCCGAUGCUUUGUGAUACACUCUCAACGAGUCGAGUUGUUUGGGAAUGCAGCUCAAAAUGGGUGGUAAAUUCCAUCUAAAGCUAAAUAUUGGCGAGAGACCGAUAGCGAACAAGUACCGUGAGGGAAAGAUGAAAAGCACUUUGGAAAGAGAGUGAAACAGUACGUGAAAUUGUUGAAAGGGAAGCGUUUGAAGUCAGUCGUAUCUGGCGGGAUUCAGCCUGGCUUUUGCCGGGUGUACUUUCCGUCCGAUGGGUCAGCAUCAAUUUCGAUGGGGGGAAAAAGACGUGGGGAAUGUGGCUGUCUUCGGGCAGUGUUAUAGCCCCGCGUUGUAUGCCUCUGUCGGGAUUGAGGAACGCAGCGCGCCUAUAGGCCAGGGGCUACCCGCCUCUUGACACGCGCUUAGGAUGCUGGCAUAAUGGCUUUAAGCGACCCGUCUUGAAACACGGACCAC
rnacentral:rRNA from 1 species